rnacentral:tRNA from 1 species
AUUUUUAUAGUUGAACAGACAACAAAAGCUUUUCACGCUUUAAGUUUGGGUUAAAAUCCUAAUAAAAAUA